AAUGAAAUAUAAUUAACAACGGCCUGAUUCCCACCAAUCCGCCAUCGCGAUUCUUCCGUCCAUUCUCAUCCGGAAAAAUCCGCUCUCUUCCCAACCAUCAUCGCUCCGGUGCUUCGUCCGGUGGAUCUCUUCGAGUGUCGGCGAAGAAGACGAGUCGUCGGCUGACUUUGUCUGAUCUCUUCCAGCGCUUGGCAACAGACGUAGUCGCUGAGAAGCAUAUAUUUUCUACCUCUUGUUCUGCCAGGUUAUCUAUAUGAGCCAUAAUUGCCAAAUCCCUUCUUCCUGAUUUCCCUGCAAGUCAUCGACUUUCCUCCGGUUGUGGGCUGCGACGGCGCCGGGAGCUGCAGCGACGUCAAGCAACCAUUGGAUGCAUGAAUAAGUAGCUUUGAUGACAGAAUGGUAGCUGAAGGGACAACAAGUUGCGAGUUAUGAUCUUGGUUGGCUGCGUCCAUAAUGGGGCACUGGUAAUCCGAAACUCAUGCAAGAGGUGCUCAGUGCUUGUUGUGGUCCAGUAGCAGCUUGGGUCGUGCCGAAAAGAUCACUGAUAUUUGG